rnacentral:rRNA from 1 species
UACAGAGGGUGCGAGCGUUGUUCGGAAUUAUUGGGCGUAAAGCGCGUGUAGGCGGCUUUGCAAGUCGGGUGUGAAAGCCCUCGGCUCAACCGAGGAAGUGCGCCCGAAACUGCAGAGCUUGAGUACCGGAGAGGAUGGCGGAAUUCCCCAAGUAGAGGUGAAAUUCGUAGAUAUGGGGAGGAACACCGGUGGCGAAGGCGGCCAUCUGGACGGAUACUGACGCUGAGACGCGAAAGCGUGGGGAGCAAACAGG